rnacentral:rRNA from 1 species
AAUGAACGCUGGCGGCAGGCCUAAAACAUGCAAGUCGAGCGCCCUAGCAAUAGGGAGCGGCGCACGGGUGAGUAACACGUGGGAAUAUGCCUUUUGGUACGGAACAACCUCGGGAAACUGAGGCUAAUACCGUAUGGUCCCUUCGGGGUAAAGAUUUAUCGCCAAAAGAGUAGCCCGCGUUGGAUUAGCUAGUUGGUAAGGUAACGGCUUACCAAGGCGACGAUCCAUAGCUGGUCUGAGAGGACGAUCAGCCACACUGGGACUGAGACACGGCCCAGACUCCUACGGGAGGCAGCAGUGGGGGAAUCUUGCGCAAUGGGCGAAAGCCUGACGCAGCGACGCCGCGUGAGUGAUGAAGGCCCUCGGGUUGUAAAGCUCUGUGGGAGGGACGAAUAAGUGUU